AGCUCCGUUUUCCUUUUCAGAUUUGUGUUCAGUCUGCACCUUCUACAUGACAUGGUGGAGUAUGCAUUACAUAAAGCCCCCAGGUUAGAGACAGGACCCCUAGGGCCAGGAGGGGGUAAGUACAGCGCUGACCAGGACUGGAGGCCACAUCACCCUUGCCCCAGCACUCGUGAAUUUGAUGUGGUCAUCCCACCUGCCAGCAGAACAUGAACGGGGCCUCCCCACAAGGAAGCCUGGAAGUCCCUUGGGUGCCUUGUGAUCUGCGUCAUGGUGAGGAGGACUCCAGGGACAGACGGCCAGGGACGUUCCCAUGUGGAGGAGACUCCACUGGCAGAGAAGCAGCGUCAAGCUGAAGACGUUGGGGUGUGCUGGCUGGCCAGGACAGCGCUUGUCCCCCUGUCCACACAUGGACACUGGACUUCCCUCUGCGGCCCAGCCAGCAGUCUCGUCUCGCAGCCGCAGCUUUCAGCAGGAAGGAGCUCGCUGGUGCCUGCCUGACCUACCAGGGCCCACACCUUUGCCCUCCUAACAUUUUGUAUUUUAAGUGCUUGUCACAGUCCACAAAAUAACCACUCAGAAUCUGUUACUAUUUUGUUUAUACAUUGUAUCAAGUGAAUGUUAACAAGUCAUCUAAGUGUAUGCUUUAGUUAUAAAUCUUGGAAAAAUAAAAACUUCCUUUUGGAGGAAAAGUUAACUCACUUUGGUAUGAAAAUCACACAACUCCAGGUUGGAUUUUUUUGUGCUUUAAUGUUCGCAGUCACACAAAAGUGGUAUCUCCAUCAGCACUGGGGCGGCCACCUCCUCCUCAUCAGCCCGACAGCUGCACGGUCCCGCCUCUCACCCAUUUGGUCUGUUUGCAAGUUACUAGAUCAUACAAAAAUAACCGCUACAAAUUCUCUGUAUCUGGCAUAUAAAAACUGAGCAAAAAGUAUCUCUUAAAGCAAAACAUCUCAGAAAAAAUACAACACAGGUUUAACUUCUGCAGUACUUUGUUCAUAUAAAACACUAGUAAAAUAGGCUUCUUAAAAAUUAAAUAGUGAAAUACCAACCAAAUUAUAUACAUUGUUACAGUACAAGUGAAUGAGGCAAAAUAUCCAGUUCUUAGCUUCCCAGGUGGAGGGGGGGCUGCCAGUGUGUGGCAUGGAAGGGUGACAGGAAGGCCAUGUUCUGAUGUCACAGUCAGUGCAGAAACAGGCUUGCAGCGGG